CUAAAAUGGAUGAUGUUAUUGAGAGUUGGGUAAAGAAAUUGUGUAAGAAUGUCAAUCUACUCGUCAUGCUCUACCUAAAGCCUCAUUAUAUCCAUGGGAGGUGACUAGGUCCCAUUUACAUAUAGAUUUUGCUGGCCCGUUUCAUGGACAGAUUUUUCUUUAGUUGUUGACUCCUUUUCAAAAUGGUAAGAAGUUGUUUCAGU